AACGAACGCUGGCGGCAUGCCUAACACAUGCAAGUCGAACGAGACCUUCGGGUCUAGUGGCGCACGGGUGCGUAACGCGUGGGAACCUGCCUUUAGGUUCGGAAUAACUCAGAGAAAUUUGAGCUAAUACCGGAUAAUGUCUUCGGACCAAAGAUUUAUCGCCUUUAGAUGGGCCCGCGUUGGAUUAGCUAGUUGGUGGGGUAAAGGCCUACCAAGGCGACGAUCCAUAGCUGGUCUGAGAGGAUGAUCAGCCACACUGGGACUGAGACACGGCCCAGACUCCUACGGGAGGCAGCAGUGGGGAAUAUUGGACAAUGGGCGAAAGCCUGAUCCAGCAAUGCCGCGUGAGUGAUGAAGGCCUUAGGGUUGUAAAGCUCUUUUACCAGGGAUGAUAAUGACAGUACCUGGAGAAUAAGCUCCGGCUAACUCCGUGCCAGCCGCCGCGGUAA
rnacentral:rRNA from 1 species